GGGGACAGGACAGAGGAGGAGGACAGGACAGAGGAGGGGGACAGGACAGAGGAGGAGGACAGGACAGAGGAGGAGGAGAUAUGAUGAGAUUAGGUGAAGGAGGGGGACAGGACAGAGGAGGGGGACAGGACAGAGGAGGAGGACAGGACAGAGGAGGAGGAGAUAUGAUGAGAUUAGGUGAAGGAGGGGACAGGACAGAGGAGGGGGACAGGACAGAGGAGGGGGACAGGACAGAGGAGGAGGACAGGACAGAGGAGGAGGAGAUAUGAUGAG